AUAGUAAGAACUUUCUAGAGAUAGAUUGGUGUCUGCUUGCAGAAACUUAUAUACAGGUGCUGCACGGCUGUCGUCAGCUCGUGUCGUGAGAUGUUGGGUUAAGUCCCGCAACGAGCGCAACCCUCGUGUUUAGUUGCUAACAGUUCGGCUGAGAACUCUAAACAGACUGCCUACGCAAGUAGGAGGAAGGUGAGGACGACGUCAAGUCAUCAUGGCCCUUACGUCCAGGGCUACACACGUGCUACAAUGGGAUAUACAGAGGGUCGCAAAACCGCGAGGUCGAGCCAAUCCCAGAAAGUGCGUCUCAGUUCGGAUUGGAGUCUGGAACUCGACUCCAUGAAGGCGGAAUCGCUAGUAAUCGCGCAUCAGCCAUGGCGCGGUGAAUACGUUCCCGGACCUUGUACACACCGCCCGUCAAACCAUGGGAGCUGGGGGUGCCUGAAGACGGUGGCCAUAGAGGAGCUGUCUAAGGUAAAAUCAGUGACUGGGGUU
rnacentral:rRNA from 1 species